UCUGCUUUCAUUCUUUCUGCAACCUGUUUACCUUUCUUCCAUUACUGUUGGAGAAUCACCUCACGGCUCUGAAAUGGUUCUUGUGGUUGAUCGCUUGAAACAAGCGCUGCAUGAUUGCAUUCUACCAUUGUCAAAUGAGCUAAUGAGUCCCUUUCAAUUGAACCAGGUCUGUGAAGUGUAUACUCUGAUAUUGCAUUAGAGAAGGUUGAUAAGUAUGCUCCAACUUUUAUUUAGAAAUGUAUUUUAUUACAAUUUUGUCAUAUUGUUUGACAUAAAGCGGCUGUUGCAGAUUUUCUUGUCCCUAAGACUUGAAUGCCCUGCCAAAAUCCCAGUCAAUCAGAUUUCGUAUCGAGAAAUCAAGGAAAUGGCGCAGGAAUUCAAUUUAACCUUAAAAAUUCUAAAAUGAAGACAUUUUGAGGCAUUCUCUGCCAUGAUAUAGUGAGGACAGUGGAUACUCAGAGUGAAUACUCUGGUCUCUGCAUAUUAUGAUCUUCAUUGUGAAAUUAAUAUGGUAAUCGAGUAAUCCUUUGCACUAAUUAUUUGGAGCUUUUCAGUAUAUCAAUGUGGUUCAACAAGGACAGUUCCACCAGCUUCAAGGAUAUAAUAUAAAGGGAAGGGUUUGUGUUGGUCUACCAAGGGAACGUGCAUUGCUUCACCUGUCGGCUGUCAAUGCUUUAAAAUGCACCUUUCAGCAUAUCAUCUCUUCAUGAAACAAGUUGGUAGAAGAUUCACAGUUAAUGGUUCGGUUCAGUUUGCUAACUAGCAGCAGCUGCACGGCUUUUUUCAUGAGCAAACUUUUAGUGCCACCCUGUAUGAAGGUUUGAUCCUCUGGUUUUAACUGAUGUUGUUGAUGGGAAAACUUCAAGUGGAAGUGUUAUUAGGAUGGUUAUUUGAACAUACAAGAAAAGUUAGACGAACGAUACAAAUAUUAUGGAGAGCUUGAAUCAGUAAAUAUAUUUUUCUUUGCCUG